AUUGAACGCUGGCGGCAGGCCUAACACAUGCAAGUCGAACGAGUGGCGGACGGGUGAGUAAUGUCUGGGAAACUGCCCGAUGGAGGGGGAUAACUACUGGAAACGGUAGCUAAUACCGCAUACCAUCGGAUGUGCCCAGAUGGGAUUAGCUAGUAGGUGGGGUAACGGCUCACCUAGGCGACGAUCCCUAGCUGGGCUGAGAGGAUGACCAGCCCCACUGUGACGGAGACACGGUCCAGACUCCUACGGGCGGCAGCAGUGGGGAAUAUUGCACAAUGGGCGCAAGGCUGAUGCAGCCAUGCCGCGUGUAUGAAGAAGGCCGGCGGGUUGUAAAGUACUUUCAGCGAGGAGGCGUUACUCGCAGAAGAAGCACCGGCUAACUCCGUGCCAGCAGCCGCGGUAU
rnacentral:rRNA from 1 species